rnacentral:lncRNA from 1 species
UGUGUGGGCAGCGUAACAUCUUGAUGACUUGACUCUAAUCUUUUUUGGCAAGGCUCGCGUUAGGGCUAGAAAGUCGCCAAAAGUGUCUAAGAAAGAGCCCCUCCCCUGUAUCCACAGCGUCGAUCCUUACUGUAGCCUCUUAACUGGCUGCAGAUAUCGUCUUGCUAAAUGUUUCUAGAUAUACCACAGUGGAAUUGAUUUGAUGCAAGUGUGCUGAAUUUUGCUACCAGAUCGACCCUCCAAUUGAACCGGUACCUUUUGUCCCUGUUAACGCCGUGUAUUUAGUAGUGAAAUUGUUUUAAUAGUUAAUUAUUACUAGAAAGACGCCACCCGGUAUAUCAAACACGCCUAAAGCCUUUUACCGCUGGUGGUUGCAAUCAAAAAACGCCACAAAACGAGCUGCUGGGCCGGAAGAUUCGGCCUACCCCACCGGCGAGGCUUUCAGGUGAUUCGCCUGGAAGGCCAGUAGUAGUUUCGAAGGGUACAAAAUAUGCAUGACAGAGUAUCAAGUGAUAUUGAAUCCCCACUAAUAAUGAAUUGAGUUGACAAUGUCUAUGCA